UACGUAGGGGGCAAGCGUUGUCCGGAAUUAUUGGGCGUAAAGAGCGCGUAGGCGGUCCGGUAAGUCGGUUGUGAAAGUCCAGGGCUCAACCCUGGAACGCCGGUGGAUACUGUCGGGCUAGAGUCCGGAAGAGGCGAGUGGAAUUCCUGGUGUAGCGGUGGAAUGCGCAGAUAUCAGGAGGAACACCGAUGGCGAAGGCAGCUCGCUGGGACGGUACUGACGCUGAGGCGCGAAAGCGUGGGGAGCGAACAGG
rnacentral:rRNA from 1 species